rnacentral:lncRNA from 1 species
UUGACUCCCCUUUUUUGUGUGAGUUGCACGAAAUAGUUCAAGUUGAGUUGGUUGUCUACCCAACUUCUUUGCCUACAAAAAAGAAAUAAUCACACAACACAAGAUGCACGAAUAAUUUCUAACCAUCUAUAUAAAAAUAGAAUUGUAUAAAUAAAAGUAAGAAAUAAAAGAGUUAUAUCAAUCUAUUCUCAUGAACCUCCAAUUUUAUUGAACCACCAGAGUGUUUCGUAAUAGUCCCAUCUUUUUCUACGUUUCUAUUUGCUUUACCAGCUUCUGAUUU